CUUGGCAGUAGGUAAAAUUAAGACUAUUUAAAGCACACAUGAGGUGGAAAUGGCAGAAAACAUUAAUAUUACAAAGAUAAGUUAAGCAAAAGGAACAACUAGUAUGCAAAGAAAGGCAAAAUACAGAGAUGAAUGAAUAAUUAUGGGUAGGGCAGUAAUUAUUAAAUCAUUGAAAGUAUGUAAAAGAACCUAAGGGUUGUAUUAACAAAGAAGAGGAAGCUGUAUGUGGGCUUUGAGGAAGUGAAGCAAUUGUGGACUGUUUCUCCAUGUAAAACUUUGUUCAGUCUCACAGCACUGAAGAAAAGGGGCAUCCCAGUGUUAAUCUCCAAGCAAAGAUUUUGGUCCAACUCUGGGUUUGAAAAAGUCCAGCUCCUUGGAGAGUCUGCAGACUGCAGUGGCCGAGGUCAGGAAGAAUGACCUUCCCUUUCACAGGCCCCGGCCGCACAUGGUUCGAGGCCGAGGCUGCAAUGAGAGCUUUAGAGCAGCCAUUGACAAAUCCUACGAUGGACCUGAAGAAAUAGAAGCUGACGGUCUGUCUGAUAAGAGCUCUCACUCUGGCCAAGGAGCUCUGAAUU
rnacentral:lncRNA from 1 species